rnacentral:rRNA from 1 species
AAUCAACGCUGGCGGCGUGCCUCAGACACGCAAGUCGAACGAUUAAGACUCUCUUCGGAGAGUGCAUAAAGUGGCGCACGGGUGAGUAACACGUAAGUAAUCUACCCUCGAGUGGGGAAUAACAACCGGAAACGGUUGCUAAUACCGCAUAAUGCAGCGGCACCGCAAGGUGACAGUUGUUAAAGAUUUAUCGCUUGGGGAGGAGCUUGCGGCAGAUUAGCUAGNGGUAAGGUAAUGGCUUACCAAGGCUACGAUCUGUAACCGGUCUAAGAGGACGGUCGGUCACACUGACACUGAAUAACGGGUCAGACUCCUACGGGAGGCAGC